CAGGUUGCUAACGGUGGCGACCCUUGGUCUGGGGGAGGAGCUUACACCAACGACACCCAGGGAUACACACAGACCCAACAUAAUGCAGCCGAGAAAAGACCUUCAUUUCCUGAUGGAAACCAACAACGAAUACAAAGGGCUGCUAGGCUGCUUCCCUGAUACUAUCGGAGUACACAAGCUAUAGAGAAGGUGAGGCAAGGGGAUAAGAUGGUGGCAGCAGGGAAGAUCACCACACAGGACAAAGUGACCAUGACCAAACGCACCAGCAUCAUGUCCUACUAACUACAAGAUUGCUGAGAAGCUGAAGCAAGGCCUGGGCCAGUGUACCAAACUGUGACGGGAAACACAAACACGUGUCUCUGCUCCUCUCUGCUUCGUGGACCAACAACCUUAAACUCCUCUUCUACGGACAUACCGGGAUGGACUGGUGUCUGGAUGAUCUAGUUGAAAGACUGUGUCACUCUGUGCCUUUAAACUACAGGACGAGCUAGAGAUAAUGUUGACCUAUCUCUUUAGAAAGAAAGAGGAGAGAGAGAGAAGAGAGGA